AAUCAAUAUACGUAGUCCCCCUUCUAGUCGCUAGGUGGCACCACAGCUUUAAAGCAGAGCCAAAAAACUGUGGAAUAACUUACCAUGGACGGUAUAUUCGCCAUCUAUGGUCUUAACCUCAUUCCUCUUUUUGUGCUUUGGUGGCACAUGUUCAUUUUUAUUCGGCGUCGGUGUUUUCAGCUUUUUUCAGCGUUUUUGGAAGUUAAUUGGAGAAGUACAAGUGAGAUUUACGUUAUUCCUUAUCGGAUGAAGAAAGAACCUACCUACGACGAAAGAUUAAAUCUUUCCAUCCGCGAUUACAUAAUCGCUAGUGGCGUGGUUCCCAUCAACGAGAUUUUCUUACAAUUGGGAGACGAUUUCUUCAUCGUCCGGGUUCCGAUCGGAAUCCCCAGAACUCGAAAGACCCCCCAUCUUUCCCACUUAUACGACAGCAGUCGUAUGUAAGUGUUUCACAAUUGGAAGCAAUCCUUUUGUGAGGGGGUCGGCCAUACAUAUGGUUUUAUAUUUUUUCGACAUCGAAAAAAUAGAGUUUUCUGGCUCGUCCGGCUAUGGAUGAGGCGCCCGGGAUACUGGGACAUAAUGAACAAUUUUUUAUGGCUGUUGGAAUGCAUUUACUCCAUCGUAAGUAUAUUUUUUAGGCCCUUCAAUUAAUUCUGAUGUCAUUGUUGAGCCCCUUGAGACGGAUUUAAAGCAAAAUGGCCUUUAAGCUAUGGGGUCGAUAGUCCCAACACAAAGUUUGAUGUGUCAUGACAUUUUGGCAAGUCAGAUUAAUACCUUUUUGAAAUCCGGUGUGUCCGAAGAUUGUCUCAGUGACCUUUUGCGUUGAUAUCCUGUGCCGAAGAAUUGCCCGCUCAAUAACUCUCCUAAAUUGAAUGUGCAGAUGAAAUCUGCCAUCAACAAAGGUGGAAAGAAAAGGGAUGAGAGACUGACUGCAACAAGGGGUGCUUUGAUGGUGGUUGGUAGGACGCUCUUGACCUUGCUUUUGAAACCGGUUAAGGAUGAGUAGUACUUACUUCUCAUCGAAAUGUUGAGUAAUGCAAUAUUUGUUUUAAGCAAAAUACACCAUUUAGGUUCAGUAUAUAGAAGUUCAGCCGCGUUAAGCCUUUCGCUGGUCUCAAAUGAAAUGCAGCCUUGUAUGAAGGAAGUGCUCGUUGAUGCUUCUUUGCACUCUUGUUUAUAUGGAGAAGAUUUGGCUGAUAGGCUCAAAUCAAUCAGAUUAGCUGCAGAUUAGUGGCCGAGUUAAAGUCAGGUGCAUCCGGAACAAGACUUUUAUAGCAUACAAAUUUAAACUCGACCGUCCCACUUCGUUCCCGGAAGUUGCAAGGCUGAAGUGGGUGAAAGUCAUUGUACCCUCAAAAGAGGGAAUACAGGAAGGUUCGAGAGGAAAGGGGGUGGAGUUGUGUCCCCAGGAAAAAAUAUUUACAGAAUCCUGAAUGCCCUGUAAGGCAGCAAUGUUACAAACUUGAGAUUUUCUCAGAUGGUACUCCUUUGGGUUGGGGAAUUGUGCCAGAGGACUUUGGAGUCCUAGGGAAGCUCAGUUUCAUAUUAAUGCACUAGAAUUAACUGCGGCCUCAUUUGGUCUCUAAUGCUUCGCCUCGUAUUUGACUAACUGCGAGACACUUUUGAGGAUUGAUAAGACAACUGCUAUUUUGUAUGUAAAUAGAAUAGGGUGAGUAAAAUUUCCUGUUUUAAACGAAAUUUCGAGGCGCCUUGGGGUUGGUGUGAAGAAAGGAGGUUAUGGGUUAAAGCAUCUUACAUUCGAUCUUCCGAUAAUUUUGAAGCGCAUAAGGAACCCACGAAUUUGAAUUUUGAUGGUGAAUGGUACCUUUCGGACAAUGCUUUUGCUAAAAUAACAAGCAAAUUAGGAUUCCCAUAAAUCGAACUGUUUGCUUCUCGCCUAAGUAAGAAAUGCAGAAAGUUUAUUUCCUAAUUUUCUUCUAUGUUUUCCCCCCGUUUUGCUUGUUGCCACUUGUUUUACGAAAAAUCAAGGCUGAUUGAGCUACAGGGAUCGCAGUAAUCCCUUACGGGCACAGCCAGCAUUGACAAAUUACCUUCUUCUUUUGACAGGAGAGGUCACCCUUUGUGGAAAUCCCUUACCCUGGCUGCAGGGAUUUUGUCAGGCAAGCAUUCCAGAAGAUUUGCUGGAUAUUUUUCUAUCAUCUGUUCAGAGCGCUACCUUGAGGCAUUUAUUACCUGCAUGCAUUUAAACUUUGGUGGAGCUUCUACGAAAGGAGGGGAGUGGAGUGUUAUUACUUCUCACCUAGGCUGUAUUAGAUUUCCUUACUAUUCAUUUUAGACAAGACAAGUCCUAUGGCUCAUUGAGUUCUUUCAGUGCAGCACGGCCUUAUUUUUGGAUCAGAUUUAUUUAACAAUGCAAAUCUAACUAGGUUUUUUAAGGUGUUUAUAAUCUAAGGCCAAGUAAACCAAGAUAUAACAGCACUUGGGGCCCUAGUUAUGUCCCUGACUUUGUAAAAGGGUUACGUUCUAAUGACUUGUCAUUAAAGCAAUUAACUGUCAUUAAAACAAUUAAAUUAGUUUCUCCUACUGAAGUUAACGAUUGUACAUAGAGUCCAAACGCUCUCUCUUAUAGAAUUGGUCAACAUAAAAUCAUUUCCAGAUGGAUUAGAAAUUAGAAUAACGAAUCAAAUUAAGAUUUCAGCUAUAAAUAAGACUCGACCUGUUUUUUAAUUUUGCAUAUAUAUAUAUAUUAUUGAGAGGGCCAGUGCUUUAAGAGGCAGUGAAUCUCGUUUACUCAUUACAUUUAAAAAGCCUUGUAGGGCAGCAACUAUACCCAACAAAAGUAGAUGAAUAAAGAUAACUUUAGAAGAUAGUGUUGUCUACACUUUUAUUUUUACUGUUCACAGAACUCGACAUGCCUCAACAUCGUCUGCGUUUUGUAAAGGUGUUUCAAUUGAUAUGAUUGGAAAAACGGCAGAUUGGUGAGAAUGCUCUAAAUGUUUUCCCCUUUUUUAUAAUAUAUUUGUACAGCAAGUGCAGUCCUUUUUGUUAAUGCCACAUUUGGGACAUAGAAUUUUUCAGAAGGUUUGUUUUCUCGGAUAGCCAUUUAUUUUGUAUUUGUACUCGAGGCUUUCAUAAACUUCCUGGAUUUCCUUAUAUAGCCGAAUAAAAUCGUUUUAUAACAAAUUUGCUGAGUUGCCUUUGAAAGUCUACGUAUAUUGAUUUCAUAGAAGAGGUGUAACAUAUAAUUCAAUGAUCAAACGAACUUACCUGGUAAGUGAAGUUCGAUCGUAAUUAUAUGUUACACCUCUUCGUAGAAAUCACCCAUUCCCGCCCAAUUUACUGUUCUGAACAGUACUAAAAUGCCCUUUGGCAAAUUUAUUAUAAACGGGCUUUAAAAUAGAAUGAGGUUAAGACCAUAGAUGGCGAAUAUACCGUCCAUGGUAAGUUAUUCCACAGUUUUUUGGCUCUGCUUUAAAGCUGUGGUGCCACCUAGCGACUAGAAGGGGGACUACGUAUAUUGAUUUCUACGAAGAGGUGUAACAUAUAAUUACGAUCGAACUUCACUUACCAGGUAAGUUCGU